ensembl:misc_RNA 7SK 7SK RNA
GGAUGUGAGGGCGAUCUGGCUGCAACAUCUGUUACCCCACUGAUGGCCAGGGUUGGAUUCAGCUGAUCUGGCUGGCUAGGCGGGCGUCCCCUUCCUCCCUCACUGCUCCAUGCGUGUCCUUCCCGAAGCUACGCUCUAGGUCGAAGAGGACAGCCUUCCCCGAAUAGAGACAGACCAGUCUUCAGUCAAGGGUAUACGAGUAGCUGCGUUCCCCUGCUAGAACCUCCAAACAAGCUCUCACGAUUAAGAUAACUCUAGUCCUGGCUUUCAUCUGCAAGGCUGUAUGAGAAAUCCCAAGAAAAAGCAAGCUAGCUAAGCCUAGACAACCUCUAGAACAUGAGAGGUGAUGAGAAAAUCU